rnacentral:lncRNA from 1 species
AUUUAAAAUUUUGAACGACAUAUAUUGACAUAUUUAAAAAUAAUAUAUAUGUCCAAUGUUACUUUUCAAUUCUGUUUGCAUAUUUAUUUUUUUUUUUUUUAUUUGAUUGUUACCUUGGUUGUUGCCAAGUUAAACGUUAUCUUAUAUUCUACAAGUUGUAAAACGUCUUUGAGAACAUAAGAUAGAAACCAAUUGUGAUUUUGUAACAUGUAAUAUAAUGAUCGUUGUUUUAGGGGACAAUUAAUUGAAUAUGUAAUUUUAGCCCGAAUGUCCUUCUAAAAUAAUGAUUUAAGUAUACUAUAUGUAAUAUAUUAUGUUUUAAUUAUAAAUCUACGAAAACGCAGUUAUUGAAAAAAGUAUACAUUUAUAAUCUGUAGAAAUGAAAUAAUCAUUUGCCUUUAGUUACCUCUCUUCAAUCAAUUGAAAAAACUGUACUUUUAUUUUUCGAAAUACACAAGAUUUUUUACCUAAGAAAAAGAUUACCUUUGCUGUAUUUGACAGAACAAUUUGGAUUUUCAGGUCCUCAAUGCCCCUCGAUUUCGUAUCUUUUUUGGUUUAUCUAACAGUUUUGAUUAGAGCAUCACUGAUGUGUCUUUUGUAAACACGCGUACAUGGAUACAAAAUAUAAUCUUGGUUUCUAUAAUGAGUUAAUAUAGGCCUGUAAUAGGUUUCAAACUAAGUUUACCGUUGCAAUACUAGAGCAACUAGAAUUUGUUCGUAAUUUCUAGUAUCACGGUUUAAAAAAAUGUAUUACCCAAUGCUUUUAAUAAUUUAAGGGGAAAAACAAAUACAAUAAUCUUGACUGUAGGGAUGGUAGAAAAAUAUCUCCUGCUUAAAUAAAGGCAACAGUAGUAUAUCGCUGUUCAAAACUCAUAAAUCCAUGGACAAAAAACAAAAUCGGGGUAACAAACUAAAACCGAGGGAAACGCAUUAAAUAUAAGAGGAGAACAACGACACAACACUAAAAUGUAACACACAGAGAAACGGACCAAGCAUCAGACAAAACUUCCGAAUUCCAGAACAUGAUUUUAAUUUACAAUAAUCUUACAAGAAUCAUGUUAUAUAACUCGUGAAUGACCAGUGCAUGCAUUUCAUAAUCUGAUACAUUUAGUAGUACACGGUUGUCACAUCUCUAUAGAACGGGUACUAAUCUUGUUCACAUCUCGAAUUAAACAAACUCGAACACAUGCACGUCAUUACUGUCGUUUCACGUUACAAGGUUUCAAUGGUUGAAUUUGUAUGGUUUUUGUAUAAGAAGUAUAUUUUUUAAAAGCCUCAUAUUUUAAGCUUAACAUUUUGUUUAAGUUAAAAAAAAUAUAUACAAAGGGUCGAAACUUCCUACUGCAUUAUUCAUCUGAAUUGUUUUCUGUUUGAAUAGUCGUUUGAUAUCGACUUCAGACAUUUCCGAUAUCCACGUCUGUUACGGCAAGUUUAAGACAAUAAACAUUGAAACUUCUUUAUUGCAACAUGGUUUAUAAGGAUAUGUUUUCAUUCGGAUGAGAUUAAUAUUAGAACUGUUGAUAUGGUUGCCGCUUAUUAAUGUAGAACGAUCCAAUGCUCUUUUUUUUAAUUUCGCUAUAAGAAAUUAGCGUUGAAAAAAGUGAAAUUCUAUAUGAAAUGGAAAAGUCUUACUUAUAAUGACAAUUAAGAUAACAAAUUAAAAAAUAAAACUUAAGUAAGCAUAUGCAAAUCUUUUGUUUCAUAUAUUGUGUUUUGAGUACUGUGGUUUGUAUUUUUGUCGUUUUUCAUUUAUUUUAUAACAUCGUCUUUUUGUUUUUGCUUUAUUAUUUUGAAUAUCCUUUUGAUUUUUUUGCCUCUCUUUUGCAAAGUUAAAAAGAGGGGAAAAGUGUUGUGAGCAAUAAAUUUUCGAAUGAUACCGGUGAACAUAAUUCAUUAAAAAAACACCCAUUAUAUCAUUGUAUUUUACUAUCAUCAUCAUUUUGAAGUGAACUAUACUAUCCGUCCUUAUUCAAAUGAAACGCCAAAUGUUGGAAUGUAUUUGUAGACAUAAAUGUGAGAUUGUUGGGUGUAGUAAAGGAAAACGAGUCACACAAAAUGAACUGGCGCUUCCAAUAACAGUAUUUUUUUGCUAACUUGGGCCAAGUGACCUUUUCUCAUCAUUGGCGUCCGGCGUCCGUUGUCGUCGUCGUCCAUCGUUGUUAACUCUUACUAAAAUCUUCUCCUCUGAAACUACUUGGCCAAAGUUAACCAAACUUGGCCACAAUCAUCAUUGGGGUGUCCUAUGACUUGGCCAAACAACCAAGAUGACUGCCAUGGCUAAAAAAAAAGAACAUAUGGGUAAAUGCAGUUUUUGGCUUUUACCUCUGUAACUAAAGCGUUUAGAGCAAUCUGACAAAAUAAAAUGUUUAUCAGGUUGAAAUCUAUCUGCCCUGAAAUUUUCAGAUGAAACAAACAACCCGUUCCUGGGUUGCUACACUUGAAUAAGUAUUUUUAAGGAAAUUUUGCCGUUUUUUGUUAUUAUCUUGAGUAAUAUUAUAACGUGUGAAAAACUGUAAACAGCAAUAAUGUUCAGCAAAGUAUAAUCUACAAAUAAGUCAACAGGACCAAAAUUGUCAUUAUUGCUCUUUAUAGUCAAUUUUAACAAUUUUUCGUAAUUUUUGGUGAUAUUUUACAAUCUUCUCCUCUGAAACUACUAAGACAAAUUUAACGAAACUUGGCCACAAUCAUCAUUAUGGUAUCUUGUUUAAAAUGUUUCAGAUGACCUCGCCUGCGAACCAAGAUGGCUGACAUGGCUAAAAAUUGAACAAAGGGGUAAAAUGCAGUUGUGGCUGAUAUCUCUGAAACCAAAGCAUGUAGAGCAAAUUUGACGAAAUUGUUCAUUAUGUAAAGAUCUAUCUGUGUCCUUUGUUUGAUAUGCACAUAAACCAUGGAGAGCGACACAGGCUCUUUAGAACCUCUAGUUCAUGUUUUUCGUCAUAAAAGUCAUUUUGUUCUAAAUCGAAAAAGUUUUAUUUGUCUUAUUUCAUACAUGUGUUAUUUUGCCCAUAUGUUAUAUUAUAUGUGUUUUGUCAAUUAAAAUGAAACGUUUGAAGCACAUUAGUUUUGUUAGAAAUCCUUAUAAUUACACUGUAAAAUAUUAUGAUAACAUAAUAAU